GCAUCGGUGGUUCAGUGGCGAGAAUGCUCGCCUGCCACGCGGGCGGCCCAGGUUCGAAUCCCGGCUUCGGCGAUGCA
rnacentral:tRNA from 1 species